GGGUCCGCGUCUCAUUAGCUAGUUGGUAGGGUAAUGGCCUACCAAGGCAACGAUGAGUAGCUGGUCUGAGAGGAUGAUCAGCCACACUGGAACUGAAACACGGUCCAGACUCCUACGGGAGGCAGCAGUGGGGAAUAUUGCGCAAUGGGCGAAAGCCUGACGCAGCAACGCCGUGUGAGGGAUGAAGGCUUUCGGGUCGUAAACCUCUGUCGGAAGGGAAGGACGGGCAAUGGUCUAAUAGGCCGUUGUUUUGACGGUACCUUUAGAGGAAGCACCGGCUAACUCCGUGCCAGCAGCCGCGGUAAUACGGAGGGUGCAAGCGUUAUUCGGAAUUACUGGGCGUAAAGCGCACGUAGGCGGCCUUGUAAGUCAGGGGUGAAAUCCCACGGCUCAACCGUGGAACUGCCUUUGAAACUGCAGGGCUUGAAUCCUGGAGAGGGUGGCGGAAUUCCUGGUGUAGGAGUGAAAUCCGUAGAUAUCAGGAGGAACACCGGUGGCGAAGGCGGCCACCUGGACAGGUAUUGACGCUGAGGUGCGAAAGUGUGGGGAGCAAACAGGAUUAGAUACCCUGGUAGUCCACACCGUAAACGAUGAAUGCUAGAUGCCGGAC
rnacentral:rRNA from 1 species